CGCAAUGUUUCUGCUUCACGUGAAGGAUGAAUUUUUAAUGUCUAAAAAGAAACUAUGUGGCCUUCAAACAAAACCGAGAGUGGAAAGUAAUUAUUAUGUGUGUAGCAGCAAAUUACAGGUGAAUCCUUAUUGCCAAGUCAUUUAAUAGUGCAUGAUAUGAGAUGGAAUAUUGCGGCAUUCUAGUCACGAACUAAAGCUAAUGUAAAAUGUAGGACGACGUAGGUGCAUAUCGAUUUUCUACAAGAAAUAACUAGAUUGCAAGAGAAAAUGAGAUAGAGAAGAAAGAAAAAACAUUACUACGAGAGCAAUUCAUUUUGUCCUCUUUUUUCUGGAAAAAUAACACCAAUUCCUUAAGAACAAAGGGCUGAAGUAGCUUUAACUAGAGGUGUAGAAGUUCUUCCUUCUAUCAAUAGCAAUACAUCAAUAUCUAAAUUGGACAAAAACAAAAGUCCAGCUGCUGGAUCACCCACCAAAACAGUGGAUCCCACAAAAGGCUCACCCAAAAAAAGAAAAAUGUUGAGGUUCACUGGCGUCCCUCGCACAAGACCUGAUGUGUCACCCACUCGAGCCUUGAAACCCCUUCAUAAUGACAGAAUAAAUGGACUUGCUGCUGCAAAAAAAUCAACUAACCGGAUUUUAGAACGUGCUGAUCACUUCAAAACUGUCACUCAAUCUAAAAAAGAGCUUGCACUUCUUUUUCAACAUAAAGUAAUUUGGGAACAGGAAUAUAUGCAUCUGCAGUACUUGGAGGACAGAUUACAACGAGAAAUUUAUAACCAUUUAACGAUUUAUGGUCAGUUAGGAGCUGAUGGGCAGCUUCUUUUAGCUGAUAACAUCAAUUUCAUUUUAGAAAUAGAAGAAGAGAAAGCGUUUUUUCGAGAAAAUGUUGUGGAUCCUUUAUGGUAUAUAAGAGAAGAUUUGAAAGAAUGGGUUCGUCAACAUGAAGGAUUACGCCCUCUGUCAGAUGCAGCUAAAGUACAGCAUUAUCAGAUAAAAAGAGAAGUGAAAGAGCUAUGGGUUGGAUAUAAAGAGAUAGCUGAAGAUUUAUUAAAAGAACAGCGAGAACUCGAGCAGCAAGUGAAGGAAGCUUUACCACCUUACGUUAUGGCCGAAGAGAAACAGAUUGCUAAAGGGGUUCCCCCCGAAUUCCACGAGCUUUAUUGCCCAGAUCCACAACUGAAAGAAAACCUAAUCGCAGAGCUUACAAGACUAGACGAUAGUUAUUCAUUUAGGUUGAGAGAUCUGGAUAGAAACUGCGAUAGACAGGCAUGCCCUGGUGGUUGGAACGAUCACGACAGUGCCAUGUUUGAACACAUUUUAGAGCAGUACCCUCCAGAUCUUCCAGACCGAAGAGUAUUAUGUUUUGAUAGACUGAAGAGAACCUUUCCUCAUAAAACGUUAGGACAGCUGAUGUCAUACGAAACCUGGUACCAAAACAAUAAAUUUCACAAAGACCGCAGGAAAAAGUGCCUUGAAGACUGGGCGAGGGAGAGAUGGAGCUGGCUCCUCAGGGCUGUCACGGAGAUUUCUCAGGCCCAGCAAUCCCACGCUGGACACCAGCUCAGUCGAGACGAAGCUCUGCGACAGAAGUUUAAAUGCGAGGUGCUCCGUCAGAGGGUAGAACAGUGGAGGAAGGAGAAAGAAAACGAGCGCUUGCAACAAUCGGAAAUGGAAGCCCAGAGGAAACUGGCCCUCAAAGUGGUGCAGCAGCGACAGGCCGCUAAAGAAGAAUACCGGCGAGAGUUGGCUCGGCAACGACUCGCAGCGUAUUACGAGGAACGGUUGCGAUUCCAAAAGGAGAGCGAAGAUGCUCUCCAGCGUCGCAUGGAAGAACAACAAGGAGCGAUCCAAGCACGACAAAGAGCGGGUUCGUUACCGCACAGAACUGUUUUAUGCAAAUCAGAAGGAAAGACGUGAGAGAAUGCUUAAACUUCGAGAAGACGAAAAAGCACGACAGCAAAGACUUGACCAGUUACGAAAACAGGUGGGAUAAAGAACGUACAGGUGAAUAUUGAUGAGGUUCCUGACAGAAUUCAUCAAGACACUGUUGCUUCUCAGGCCCGUAAAGAAGCAUCUAGUGAAGGACUUGCUCUGAAGGCUUUGCACGAACUUCGCACUGUUCUUGAUGCAGAGGUUCAUCGAGAUCCUCGAGUGCGGUUAGAACAACAGUUGCGGGAAGCCGGUCUCCUUAAUUCCGAAUAUGCAAGAUAUGUCUUAUCACAAAUGCACCCUCCACGAGAACCUCGGAAAGAUACACGUUCCUCACUUUUUCUACAAGAUCAAGAUGAUUAAUGUAUGUAAAUGAAUUAGUUCCAAGAAUUUAAAGUACUAUAUAUAUAUAUAUAUUUUGUAUUACCUAUGCUUGUAAAUUCAUACUAAUAAAUUGUUUUUUCUGAAA